CAGUAGCCGCGGUAUACGAGGGGGGCAAGCGUUGUUCGGAAUUACUGGGCGUAAAGCGUGCGCAGGCGGUUAUAUAAGUCAGAUGCGAAAUCCCCGGGCUCAACCUGGGAACUGCAAUUGCGACUGUAUGGCUAGAGUGUGUCAGAGGGGGGUAGAACUCCACGUGUAGCAGUGAAAUGCGUAGAUAUGUGGGGGAAUACCGAUGGCGAAGGCAGCCCCCUGGGAUAACACUGACGCUCAUGCACGAAAGCGUGGGGAGCAAACAGGAUUAGAUACCCGCGUAGUCCCUGUCUCUUAUACA
rnacentral:rRNA from 1 species